rnacentral:lncRNA from 1 species
AGGAAGAUCACAACCCAAGCCCAAGUUAAGAGAUAAGAAGGUGAUAUCAACCCAAGAACCACACCCACAUCAACCACAAAAAUAAAAUUGCCAAAGCCCUGGGCCAAUGGACUACACUCUAACCAGCAAAACUAGCGACAAUCCAACAAAACACCAAAUAUCAAACAAAACAACAUCAUCAGGAAGGUAGCUUGCUACCUUCAUCCCAAGAAGCUAAUAGGCUGGCACAGCAACUUUAGCUUGCUCCAGAUCCAGCAAUGUUUGCACUACUUCAUGAGCCGCCUCCUCCAAGAAGAACCCACAUGAACGAUCCAGUUAAGUAGAAGUUGUUAUGGCAUCGAGAUAAGCAGUUUAGAAGGAUUUACCUCAGCAAGAUCGAGCUUACCAUUCUUCUUCUUCCUUGAAGCUGGGAGGAGUCUAGAAUUUGCUUCCUUCACAGCCCCCACCGCCUUCAAACUAGCCGACUUGUGAGUUCUUGGAGAGCAAGGUUCUUACAUGUCAGCAACUUCAAAGGCUUCCUCUACGUCUGCAGUGGUAUCCACCACACCAUCCUCCAUCUGAGUAGAAGCACACGAUUGGCCAAGCCCCUUCUUGUCAAUGGAACCACCAUCAGCUAGCUAGUGACAUGUCGACAUCCAAUUGUUCUUUAAGGGGCCUAGGGAUUGGCUCCACUAAGUCUUCUUCACUCAUGGUCGGACAAGUGACUUCAAC